GAACGCUAGCGGGAGGCCUAACACAUGCAAGCCGAGCGGUAUUGUUCUUCGGAAAUGAGAGAGCGGCGUACGGGUGCGGAACACGUGUGCAACCUGCCUUAUCUGGGGGAUAGCCUUUCGAAAGGAAGAUUAAUACUCCAUAACAUAUUGAUUGGCAUCAAUUAAUAUUGAAAGCUCCGGCGGAUAGAGAUGGGCACGCGCAAGAUUAGCUAGUUGGUGAGGUAACGGCUCACCAAGGCGAUGAUCUUUAGGGGGCCUGAGAGGGUGAUCCCCCACACUGGUACUGAGACACGGACCAGACUCCUACGGGAGGCAGCAGUGAGGAAUAUUGGUCAAUGGGUGCAAGCCUGAACCAGCCAUCCCGCGUAGAAGGACGACUGCCCUAUGGGUUGUAAACUUCUUUUGUAUAGGGAUAAACCUACCCUCGUGAGGGUAGCUGAAGGUACUAUACGAAUAAGCACCGGCUAACUCCGUGCCAGCAGCAGC
rnacentral:rRNA from 1 species